AACCUUACCAGGUCUUGACAUCCUUUGACCAUCCUAGAGAUAGGAUUUUCCCUUCGGGGACAAAGUGACAGGUGGUGCAUGGUUGUCGUCAGCUCGUGUCGUGAGAUGUUGGGUUAAGUCCCGCAACGAGCGCAACCCUUAUUGUUAGUUGCCAUCAUUCAGUUGGGCACUCUAGCGAGACUGCCGCAGACAAUGCGGAGGAAGGUGGGGAUGACGUCAAAUCAUCAUGCCCCUUAUGACCUGGGCUACACACGUGCUACAAUGGAGAGUACAACGAGUCGCAAAGCCGCGAGGCUAAGCCAAUCUCUUAAAGCUCUUCUCAGUUCGGAUUGUAGGCUGCAACUCGCCUACAUGAAGCCGGAAUCGCUAGUAAUCGCGGAUCACCACGCCGCGGUGAAUACGUUCCCGGG
rnacentral:rRNA from 1 species